AACGAACGCUGGCGGCAGGCUUAACACAUGCAAGUCGAGCGCCCCGCAAGGGGAGCGGCAGACGGGUGAGUAACGCGUGGGAAUCUACCCAUCUCUACGGAAUAACGCAUGGAAACGUGUGCCAAUACCGUAUACGUCCUUCGGGAGAAAGAUUUAUCGGAGAUGGAUGAGCCCGCGUUGGAUUGGCUAGUUGGUGGGGUAAAGGCCUACCAAGGCGACGAUCCAUAGCUGGUCUGAGAGGAUGAUCAGCCACACUGGGACUGAGACACGGCCCAGACUCCUACGGGAGGCAGCAGUGGGGAAUAUUGGACAAUGGGCGCAAGCCUGAUCCAGCCAUGCCGCGUGAGUGAUGAAGGCCCUAGGGUUGUAAAGCUCUUUCACCGGUGAAGAUAAUGACGGUAACCGGAGAAGAAGCCCCGGCUAACUUCGUGCCAGCCGCCGCUGUAAAAC
rnacentral:rRNA from 1 species